rnacentral:tRNA from 1 species
UGGUAAAAAGGAGACUAAACUUCCCUAAAUGAAUUUACAGCUCACCGCCUAUAACCUCGGCCAUUUUACC